CAGCAGUCGCCACGGGAAUACGUAGGGUGCAAGCGUUAAUCGGAAUUACUGGGCGUAAAGCGUGCGCAGGCGGUUAUAUAAGACAGAUGUGAAAUCCCCGGGCUCAACCUGGGAACUGCAUUUGUGACUGUAUAGCUAGAGUACGGCAGAGGGGGAUGGAAUUCCGCGUGUAGCAGUGAAAUGCGUAGAUAUGCGGAGGAACACCGAUGGCGAAGGCAAUCCCCUGGGCCUGUACUGACGCUCAUGCACGAAAGCGUGGGGAGCAAACAGGAUUAGAGACCCCCGUAGUCCCUGUCUCUUAUAC
rnacentral:rRNA from 1 species